rnacentral:rRNA from 1 species
AUUGAACGCUGGCGGAAUGCUUUACACAUGCAAGUCGAACGGCAGCACGGACUUCGGUCUGGUGGCGAGUGGCGAACGGGUGAGUAACAUAUCGGAACGUACCCAAUAAUGGGGGAUAACGAGUCGAAAGAUUCGCUAAUACCGCAUACGCCCUACGGGGGAAAGCUGGGGACCUUCGGGCCUGGCGUUAAUGGAGCGGCCGAUAUCUGAUUAGCUAGUUGGUGAGGUAAAGGCUCACCAAGGCGACGAUCAGUAGCUGGUCUGAGAGGACGACCAGCCAAACUGGAACUGAGACACGGUCCAGACUCCUACGGGAGGCAGCAGUGGGGAAUUUUGGACAAUGGGCGAAAGCCUGAUCCAGCCAUUCCGCGUGCAGGAUGAAGGCCCUCGGGUUGUAAACUGCUUUUGUACAGAACGAAAAGGUUUCUACUAAUACUAGGAGCUCAUGACGGUACUGUAAGAAUAAGCACCGGCUAACUACGUGCCAGCCGCCGCCGUAA